rnacentral:rRNA from 1 species
CCUAGAGACGCUGCGGCGUGCUUAACACAUGCAAGUCGAACGAUGAUCUCCAGCUUGCUGGGGGGAUUAGUGGCGAACGGGUGAGUAACACGUGAGUAACCUGCCCUUGACUCUGGGAUAAGCCUGGGAAACUGGGUCUAAUACCGGAUACGACCGUCCCGCGCAUGCGGUGGUGGUGGAAAGCUUUUGCGGUUUUGGAUGGACUCGCGGCCUAUCAGCUUGUUGGUGGGGUAAUGGCCUACCAAGGCGACGACGGGUAGCCGGCCUGAGAGGGUGACCGGCCACACUGGGACUGAGACACGGCCCAGACUCCUACGGGAGGCAGCAGUGGGGAAUAUUGCACAAUGGGCGAAAGCCUGAUGCAGCGACGCCGCGUGAGGGAUGACGGCCUUCGGGUUGUAAACCUCUUUCAGUAGGGAAGAAGCGAAAGUGACGGUACCUGCAGAAGAAGCGCCGGCUAACUACGUGCCAGCAGCCGCGGUAAUACGUAGGGCGCAAGCGUUAUCCGGAAUUAUUGGGCGUAAAGAGCUCGUAGGCGGUUUGUCGCGUCUGCUGUGAAAGACCGGGGCUCAACUCCGGUUCUGCAGUGGGUACGGGCAGACUAGAGUGAUGUAGGGGAGACUGGAAUUCCUGGUGUAGCGGUGAAAUGCGCAGAUAUCAGGAGGAACACCGAUGGCGAAGGCAGGUCUCUGGGCAUUAACUGACGCUGAGGAGCGAAAGCAUGGGGAGCGAACAGGAUUAGAUACCCUGGUAGUCCAUGCCGUAAACGUUGGGCACUAGGUGUGGGGGACAUUCCACGUUUUCCGCGCCGUAGCUAACGCAUUAAGUGCCCCGCCU